AGAGUUUGAUUAUGGCUCAGGAUGAACGCUGGCGGCGCGCUUAACACAUGCAAGUCGAACGAGGUCCAACCUUCGGGUGAAGACCGAGUGGCGAACGGGUGAGUAACACGUGGGGAACCUGCCCUUCUCUCUGGGAUAACCUCGGGAAACCGAAGCUAAUACCGGAUACUCCUUGCGGACCGCAUGGUCUGCUCGGGAAAGCUCCGGCGGAGAAGGAUGGCCCCGCGGCCCAUUAGCUUGUUGGUGGGGUAACGGCCCACCAAGGCGACGAUGGGUAGCCGAGCUGAGAGGCUGAUCGGCCACACUGGGACUGAGACACGGCCCAGACUCCUACGGGAGGCAGCAGUGGGGAAUCUUGCGCAAUGGGCGAAAGCCUGACGCAGCAACGCCGCGUGCGGGAUGAAGGCUCUCGGGUCGUAAACCGCUUUCAGCAGGGGUGAAAAUGACAGUACCUGCAGAAGAAGCCCCGGCUAAAUACGUGCCAGCAGCCGCGGUAAUACGUAUGGGGCAAGCGUUAUCCGGAUUCAUUGGGCGUAAAGCGCGCGUAGGCGGCUUGUUAAGUCAGGCGUGAAAUCAGGGGGCUCAACCCGCGGCUUGCGUCUGAAACUGGCAGGCUUGAGUCUGGUUGAGGAAAGUGGAAUUCCUGGUGUAGCGGUGAAAUGCGCAGAUAUCAGGAGGAACACCAGUGGCGAAGGCGGCUUUCUGGGCCACGACUGACGCUGAGGCGCGAAAGCUAGGGGAGCGAACAGGAUUAGAUACCCUGGUAGUC
rnacentral:rRNA from 1 species